UUCCCAAACUUGUGUCCCCAGACUGUCUGAACAGAGCGCUCAUAAAUGUUUAAUUAUGGACUUGUUCUUUUUUCCUCACAGUGCGCACAGAGCUCGAUUCUCAAGAGUGAAGGCUGAGGAAAGUCAAAUGACAGACUUCUCCUUUGGACCAAUAGAAGCCCCUAAAUCCCAAGGCAGUCAUUUUGAUCAAGCCGAGUGCCUACAAGCCCCACUCACAUGUUUGGUCAAGAGAGGCACAUGGGGCAAGCAUUGCUCCCUCCACCCAGCUGGCUCCCCUUUCUCCUCACAUCGCCCACAGGAAGAGAGCCCUCGUAUCAAUCCCCUCAUUAUCCAAACCCACUGCCUGCUGAAGACAGUUAGAAGGUCAUCAGAUGGAGCCAGAGACUCAUGCACGGGGGACAAAUGCUCAACAGUGGAGCCCGUCCUGGGAUGCGGCGCUCCGGGUGUGUUUGCACGCAAGCGGAUGGGCGCGUGAUGACAGGUUUGCCGAUGGGCGAGUGGAGAGAUGCAGAUCUGUAGGUUGCAAGCCAUUGCACAGAAUACAUGACUGACUGUCACUGCUAUGAAGGAGCUGCAUUGUGCCUCGCAGAGAAUUAUAUGUUUGUAAAGAGCUUAGAGCUCACUUUAUAUUGAGUGCACUGCAAAAAGUGCUAACCUAAAAACAGUAACAUCUAAUUCAUCUGGCUUUAUAAAAGUUUAACAUUAAUGAACGAACCUAUAUGCGUGAAUUUGCACCAACUAAUUUUUAUGUUUGAUCAGAUAAAAAUAGAUUUUUUUAAGUUAACAAUUGCAGUUGUCACUUUUUACAGUGCCUUCAACUAGUAUAUAUUAACAUUUAAAUUAAUAAAUAGAUACAAUGCUCUCUCUCUCUCUCUCUCUAUGCAAUACAGAGUAAUAUCACAUGGGUAGGCCUACUCGUGAUAUUUAGUUUAUAGAACAGUUCGACGGCACAAGUGUGUAAAUAAAUAAGAAACAACCACAGAGAGUCUUUAAAAACAUUUUGUAUGCAGAACUACUUCCUUCCGCCACGGAUUCAAGAACGUUACUUUAGAACGAGUGAUGAAGGAAUGUUUAGUUGCUCCAUUGAAAUCUUAUUGUAUCACUGUAUUAUAAAACGGUUACUUCCAGUCCCCAAUUCUGAGCUGUGUUUUAUUCACGAUAAAGCACGGCUACGACGCCUUCACCCAACGGUUCUGUGAAUCACUGCGCAACACCCUUAGCAACAUAAACAAUCAAUAUAUAAUAUGUGUUUCAUUAGCUGUUUAUAUGUAAGGAAGUAUGAGUCGACCCUGCUGGUGUUUGCUGUCCUUUUCACAAUAAAGCACGGCC
rnacentral:lncRNA from 1 species